rnacentral:rRNA from 1 species
UACGGAGGGUGCAAGCGUUGUUCGGAAUCACUGGGCGUAAAGGGCGUGUAGGCGGUCCGCUAAGUCUGAUGUGAAAGCCCGAGGCUUACCCUCGGAAGUGCAUUGGAGACUGGCGGACUGGAGUCCCGGAGAGGAGGGUGGAAUUCCUGGUGUAGCGGUGAAAUGCGCAGAUAUCAGGAGGAACACCGGUGGCGAAGGCGGGUCUCUGGGCCGAUACUGACGCUGAGGAGCGAAAGCGUGGGGAGCGAACAGG